AGGAAUGCAUGAAGGACAAAAUGUGAAUGCGGGCCAUAGACAUGAUGGGUUCAAGGGCCCUGAAGAUCUGUGGGGAAUGAAGCCAUCCCUCCAUUUGUAAAGAGAAUGAGACUUAGACAGGACCUUGAAGAAGGAUAGAACUUAAACAGGUGUUAAAAUAUUCUUCAAAAAGAAGUCAGAGGAGAGAACUUACCUGUGCCAGUAUUUCUAAAGCCUCAGUGGGGCUACUAUCCUCUUCCCUGAUAGUGGGACUCCUGGACCAACUCUGUGGAGCCUGGGUAUUCACAGUCUCAGAGAAAACCCAGAGUGAGUGCAAGAAUGGAAGGCAGAUUUCAAGAAAUGCAUCAGGUAAUGUGAAUGCAUCAUAAUAUCCGCCCACUGUGCAGUACUUCCCUUGUCUCCCAAACACUGAUAAAUGGACUUGUGUUCUCCACCAGAGUAUAUUCCUCUACUGAUGGUUCUCAUGUGGGUGUUCCUCUACCAGGAUAUUUUCAGGACAACAUCCUUGUGCACUUAGCAGUUGAGACUCAAGAACUCUCAGGAGGAAGAGUUGAAGACCUGAGCUGGAUUCUAAUUCUAGACCAAGUUCUCACACCCUCACUUUUCCUGAUUUCUCAGUUGGGUCUUCCCCCAGAAGAUCACCCAGUGACAUUAGGCAGCCAAGGAGGUGUCUUGCACUCCCAGAGAUGGCACCAGAAGGAAGUGUGUCAUGCCCUAACAGCAUUGGAAAAAUGAAACUGAGCAGAAUAACACUGCAAAGACUCAGAAAACCUGUCAGUGGAACUAAAGUCAAUAGAAGUAGCUGGAACCUAUAAGCUCAACCUUAACAGAAGAUAUAAAUAGAAUUGAGAGUCUCCUAAUGUCAUAACCAAAGAGUCCAGGAUAUAAUAGAAAAUCAUUCAUCAUAACAAGAACCAGGAAAACCAUAAUCUGAAAGAGAAAAGAGAAUCAGCUGAUGCCAACAAGAAGAUAAAUUAGAUGUUGAAAUGUCUGACAAGAAUUUUAAAGCAGCUGUCAUAAAGUGCUUCAAAAAUAACUUAUAGAUUGUCUUGAAACAAAAAAAUUAGCAAAGAAAUAAAAAUGAUGACAAUCUGUGGAAUGGGAAAAAUAUUUGCAAACAAUAUGACAAGAUCUGUUCAGAAAUUAUCCAGCCAUCUACUAUGAAAAAUAGAGACAUUUAUGGAAUAAGAUACAAGAUACAAGAAACAUUGUACACAGGACAAUGACGCCUCAGUUCCCUUCAAAGGAGGCACCUUGGGACCUAACACAGUUCUCCCAAUCCCCAUCAGCUGCCCCAUCGUAUUUUCCUGUAUCUCACUGACUGUCUGAAAUCUCUUCCCUUUCAAAGAUGAUUUUAGUUUUUGGAAAAGCCAGAAGUUGCAGGGCACCAAAUCUGGGCUUUAGGGGACUGAGUCACCUGAGUGAUUUGAUAUGUUUCACCAAAAACUCUGCAUGAGACCUGAUGCAUGAGCAGGAACGUUAUCAUGAUGAAGCUGCCAAUCACUAGUCACCCAUUAGCUGUUUCCUUCUGAAUCACUGAAAUAGUUUCCACAGAGGAAUGUUCAAGCUUACUACAAAAUUUGAUACAGAUUUGUUGCACUGCUCAGCCACUCUGAAUGCAGUGGCUACACGGUAGAUAUGUUCAUUCAAUGGUAUCUACCACCCCCACUGACUAGUACAGUGAAGUCAUCAUUGUUCACACAUGCAUAAUCCAGUCCACUCUCCUUGGCUGCCAGGUUACCUGGAUGUCAUGAAAACCAUUCUUAUAUCAACAAUGGCUGGACUUUGUCUGGACAGAGCUUGUAUAUCUGAUGAUGUGUUAACACUGAAAACACAUAAAGAAUUUACACAACUCAGUAACAAAAACAAAAACAAUCUAUAAAUAAUCCAAAUAAAAAAUGGGCAAAGAACCUGAAUAGACAUUUUUCCAAAGAAGACCCAUGAAUGGCUAACAGGUAAAUAAAAAGGUGUUCAACAUCACUAAUCAUAAGGAAAAUGCAAAUCUGAACCAAUUGAGAUACCACCUGACACCUGUUAGAAUGACUGUUAUCCAAAGAACCAGAGAUAACAAAAGUCGGAGUGGAUGCAGAGGAAAGGGAAUACAGGCGCACUGCUGGUAAGGUUGUAAGUGACACAGCCCCUGCAGAGAACAGUAUGGAAGUCCCUCCAAAGUUGAAAACAAAACUACCAUCUGAUCUAACAACGCCACUUCGCGGACUCUAUCUGAAGAAGAUAUACACCAUGUCAAAGAGAGACCUGCACUCCACGUUCACUGCAGCAUCACUCACAACAGCAAAGGUGUGGAAACAGCCUGUGUGUCCAUCAACAAAUGAGUGGCUGGAGAAGUUGUGGCAUAUAUGUACACCACGGAAUAUCACUCAGUCGUAAAAAGAAGGAAAUCUCUCCAUUUCUGACAACAUGGAUGCACUUUGAGGGCAUAUGCUAAGUGAAAUAGUUCAGACACACAAAAAAGACAAAAUAUAUAUUCUAAGAUCUCACUUAUAUAUGGAAUUUUUUAAAAAAGAAAAAAAAAACAUGAAAAGAGAAAUCAGAUCUGUGGUUACCAAAGGUAAAGAUGGGGGAACUAGAUGGAGGUAGCCAAAAUUCUGAGGAGAAAAAAAAAAAAAAAAGGAAAGAAAUAGAAGUUACGGAAAGAACCCGAA